GGGACUGUCUUCCUUGCCAACUUGUUUUUCAGGCCUCAACGAUGAUGGCAUCUUUUGCUCAUGAGUUAACAAUGAUUUCCCCUUGCUCGCUCUUUGCCUCUUUAGUUCUUAUUCUUCAUUUUAGACUUAUGUUUAUUGACUUCUUUCCUUCUCCUCAUUGCCCAUACAGUCACAGACCCACUCAUGACUCAUCGACGUUUCCAAGCAGGGCCCUAAGUCGAGCCUAGUCAUCAUAUCUACCAUGAGAUGAAUUCUUCAGCUCAUGGCAAUAACCAAGCAACCACUAAGCCGACAAAUCAAAAGCAACCACCAAGCAAGGCCUCAAGGUUUGCAUCAAAGCUUGACAGGCUCAACUGUUUCUAUACCAUCUAUUUCUUGCUUUUAUUGUUGUUCUUGCAAAUCAAGAAAUUAUUAAUGUGAUUUGGAUGUUAUUGUUGUUGGGUAAUUUGAUUUGAGGUUUAUGUUAUUGUUGUUACGUUUGUAAUAUGGGUAUGCAAUAAGGAAAUUAGCAAAAUUUUAGCUCUUGC
rnacentral:misc_RNA from 1 species